rnacentral:rRNA from 1 species
AUACGGAGGAUCCGAGCGUUAUCCGGAUUUAUUGGGUUUAAAGGGAGCGUAGGCGGACGCUUAAGUCAGUUGUGAAAGUUUGCGGCUCAACCGUAAAAUUGCAGUUGAUACUGGGUGUCUUGAGUACAGUAGAGGUGGGCGGAAUUCGUGGUGUAGCGGUGAAAUGCUUAGAUAUCACGAAGAACUCCGAUUGCGAAGGCAGCUCACUGGACUGCAACUGACACUGAUGCUCGAAAGUGUGGGUAUCAAACAGGAUUAGAUACCCUGGUAGUCCACACAGUAAACGAUGAAUACUCGCUGUUUGCGAUAUACAGUAAGCGGCCAAGCGAAAGCAUUAAGUAUUCCACCUGGGGAGUACGCCGGCAACGGUGAAACUCAAAGGAAUUGACGGGG